UUAUUCUUUCUCACCUUCUGUCAGCUAACGCAUGCGCAGAGACAACGCAGCCUCGGUGGCGAUGUUCAAAUCGUGGUUCAAAGGUGCUGCAUUGAGCUGUGUGCUGCUGUAACAAAGUGCGCGGGAGUUGAACGUAAGGGAUGUGUGUCAGCGUGCGCUUCGCGCGUGCAAGAUGACUUUUGCGGACCCCUUCGAGCCCUGGAACUGGACAUUGGUUGCCACUUGACUUCUACCGCAUCUCUCGGGCAUGUGGAUGUGAACUGGCUUUCUCCUCAAGGAGCACCGUCAGACCACCACGCGAGUGUGCACUUUGGGCUGCCCAGGCAAGUGUCAAAAUGCACGAGUUUUUCUGUUAAUGGGAGAGACUUGUUUUAGACAUUUUGUUUUUAUUUCUCCAUCAAUUUUAAUGCAGAUGCACAGUAGCGCAUUACGCACAAAUGGUGUUUCUUGCGCCUCUUCGAUUGCUCCGAAUGCCUUAAAAAAAGUGUCACAGAGCAAUUACCUGCGUGAUGUAUUUUUUUAGAAUGCCAAACCUAUAAUGCUCUGCCA